rnacentral:rRNA from 1 species
AUUGAACGCUGGCGGAAUGCUUUACACAUGCAAGUCGAACGGCAGCACGGACUUCGGUCUGGUGGCGAGUGGCGAACGGGUGAGUAAUAUAUCGGAACGUAUCCAAUAAUGGGGGAUAACUAAUCGAAAGGUUGGCUAAUACCGCAUACGUCCUACGGGAGAAAGCUAGGGACCUUCGGGCCUGGCGUUAAUGGAGCGGCCGAUAUCGUGUUAGCUAGGUGGUGGGGUAAAGGCUCACCAAGGCGGCGAUCCGUACAUGGUCUGAGAGGGUGACCAGCCACACUGGACCUGAGACCCGGUCCAGACUCCUACAGGAGGCAGCAGUGGGGAAUUUUGGACAAGUGGCGAAAGCCUGAUCCAGCCAUUCCGCGUGAGUGAAGAAGGCCUUCGGGUUGUAAAGCUCUUUCGCAAGAGAAGAAAACUUACCCUCUAACAUAGGGUGAGGUUGACGGUAUCUUGAUAAGAAGCACCGGCUAACUACGUGCCAGCAGCCGCCGUAA